CGCGGUUAAACGUUGGGGACAAGUAAUGCACAUUAUAGGCUUAAAGUGUUAGUAGAAUUGUAUAAAAUUAUUAUAAUUUUAUGGGCGUGCCCUACUUUAAUUAUAAUAAACUGGCUUGCCAGAUACUAGAGUAUAUAAUUAAGAUAUAAGAAAUAUAAGAGUAAUGGUUAAAUAUGCUAAUACUUAUAUGACUGCUAAUAUGUGAAGACAUAUAUCUGAUAUAUACUGACAUUGAGUAACGAAGGCUAAAGUAUCGAUAUGGAAUAGUUUCCCAAGUAGUUUUAGCAGUAAACGAUGAAUGUUCAUAAAAUAUAUAUAUUUUUUAUAAUAUAAGAUUAUAUUUUAUAAAGUGAAAACAUAAACAUUCCGCCUGAGUAGUACCUUCGCAAGUAGUAAACUCAAAACAAUAGACGGUAUAAGUUAUACACAGUGGAUCAUGUUAUUUAAU
rnacentral:rRNA from 1 species